CGUAGCCAAUCUGGGUGAACCACGUACAUCUUGUGUUUGCUUCCCUGUCUCUAUCCAUUUACAUAUUUAUCCACACUAGUGAUCGGAGCAAUCUAGCGAAUGUUACAAACUUAACACUUUCUGUAAUACCAAAGUCCUCACUGAUUUUGUGCAUCAACAGAUCUUAACUCGAUAUAUGUCACUGUAAUGCUUUAAAGCACAGAGGUCGAGGCCUUUAGAAUUGGAGUAUGUAAUAUAAUAUCUCAUGCAAUUGGUUUACAAGGCUUUCUCUAAUGCACAUAAAAAUUAUACAUCUAAAUAAGAGCCAUUAGAUCAUUUAACCUCAUAGAAAAUAAAAUAUUCACAAUGAUCCUGAAGAUGACACGUUGAUUUUUUUUCCGAAGAAGACAAGAAUGCCUUCAUUAAAUGGGCAGGACACACAAAUACUCCCAGGCGCAGUUCAACAUCUAUGGAGACUUGUGUAGCUGUCUACGACAUCGCCAAGCUCAUCUUUAAUACAUUUAUGAUUAAAGAACAACUCAAACAAGUAAGGAAUCCUCAUCACUAUCAAUCAAGGAUACUUACCUGAUAAUUCCUUUCUCAUCCAUUUAGAUGAUUCACCUGUCCAAUUAGAAGCCACCGUGGGUAGGGCAAACCCUAAUUCUAUGGCCGACCACCUCCUAUAAAUACCUUAUCUCUACCUUUCAUUGGUAUGCUUUUGACUACGCAUACAAGCCUUAACACUCACUUUUAUCAGAGAUAUUAACUUAGGCAAAAAGAUCCAUUAGUCAAAUCCCCCCCCCAAACAAACAUAAUAUAAUAUAUAAUUGGACACGAGUGAGUGUAUAUAUAAUAUAGUCGGUGUUGUAAAUUAUAUAAAUGUAGUGAUUGAUGUUUGAGUUUGUUUGUACCAUACUUGACCAAUCCCGAAACUACUGAGCACCAGUCAACGUUAUACCGUCAAGGACCCAGAAGAGUUUCCCUCCAACUAGGAGGCCAAUCACAGCGCGAAACGUAUCGACAUCAGAAGUCAAUCAUAGCGCAACACGUGUCAACAUCAAAAGCCAAUCACAACACGACACGUGUCAAUGUCAGAAUAAAACUAGAAACUCUCUUAUAUAAAUAG
rnacentral:lncRNA from 1 species